GCUGGAAAAUACAUCAAAACUCACUGGUCCUCUUCACUACAGGGUUAAACUUCAUAUUUGACAACAAUGCAGUAACUCUGCAGAAAGAUUGAUACUUUGCGAGUCCUUCAGGUCCUGUGUACAUUGUAAAGAGAAAUUACUUUUCUGUCAGUAUGAGCAGAGGUCCGAGCAGCUACAGAAGAACAGCACAGCCAUAUUUGCAUGUAUUAGGCAUCCAGCUUGCCCUCUUCAUCCACACAGGGAAAUCCAUGUCCAUUCUCCUGUUGGUGCCGAAGAGGAAGCUCAAUCCUUACUCUGAUACCCUAAGUCAAAGCAAAAUGGCAGAAUCAACCUAAGAGAUGCCUAAACUUGACCAGCAUCUGGAACAAGAAGUUUUCUGGAUCAGCAUAGCAUUCAAAUCAGCAGAGACAUUAAAGGAAAAAAAGAAAAACAGUAAUUUUUCUCUUGGGAGAUUUAAGACGUUAUUUUAGCUUAGUUCAUUUUAUCUUGUUUCAUGCACAGUUUUUGUCUUUGUCCUUUUUUCUUCACCAGCUGGGAAUAAAAAUGUUAUUCAGUGAACA
rnacentral:lncRNA from 1 species